rnacentral:rRNA from 1 species
AUGAAGGGGCUCGCCGACGAGCUAGCUGCUGCAGGAAAACCGCUUGAUGAAGACGACAUCGUCUCGCACAUCCUGGAGGGGCUCAUGCACGAGCCUGACUACAACGGCUUCGUCACCGCCCUCUCCACGCACGCCAUCACUGAUCAUCCGAUCGGCCUCAGCGAGCUCUUCUCGCUACUGCUCGCCCCUGAGUCCCGGAUCGCCGCCCAGCAAGCCGCCUACACCGCCCAUCACUCUGUCAACCUCGCCGCAAAGGGUGGUCGAGGUGGCUAUGGC